AUGCCGAAGCUAGAGCCGGAGCCACCGCUGCUGGCGGAGUAUAAGGGGGCGGUGGUUAGUGAGCCUGAAGACCCUGCAGACCUGCCAGGGCUCCUAAGGGCACUACGUGAAUCGACGAAGGGGCCGCAGCACCAUCUCGAUGACCCGGUUGACACGUCGGGGCUUCGACAUGCGAUUGUCACCACGGUGGCCUACGUCACCAUCGACCUCGGGAGCAAGGAUGAUGAUGAUGGCAAGCAGCAGCAGGAGGAGGAGGACCACUCCUCCAGCGCUAGCAGCAGCUCGGACGUGGACGACGACGGUGAGUAG
rnacentral:rRNA from 1 species